rnacentral:rRNA from 1 species
UCCAGACUCCUACGGGAGGCAGCAGUGGGGAAUAUUGCGCAAUGGGCGAAAGCCUGACGCAGCGACGCCGCGUGAGGGAUGAAGGUCUUCGGAUCGUAAACCUCUGCCAGCAGGGAAGAACGGUCACUGUGCUAAUCAGCAGUGAAUUGACGGUACCUGCAAAGGAAGCACCGGCUAACUACGUGCCAGCAGCCGCGGUAAUACGUAGGGGGCAAGCGUUAUCCGGAUUUACUGGGUGUAAAGGGAGCGUAGACGGCAGCGCAAGUCUGAAGUGAAAUGCCGGGGCUUAACCCCGGAACUGCUUUGGAAACUGAGCAGCUAGAGUGCAGGAGAGGUAAGUGGAAUUCCUAGUGUAGCGGUGAAAUGCGUAGAUAUUAGGAGGAACACCAGUGGCGAAGGCGGCUUACUGGACUGUAACUGACGUUGAGGCUCGAAAGCGUGGGGAGCAAACAGGAUUAGAUACCCGCGUAUG